rnacentral:rRNA from 1 species
GCUUGUCUCAAAGAUUAAGCCAUGCAUGUCUUAGUGUAAAUAACUCUUAUGAAACUGCGAAUGGCUCAUUAAAUCAGUUAUCAAAUACGUGAUGGUCGCCUACUACAUGGAUAACCGUAGUAAUUCUAGAGCUAAUACAUGCACAAAGGCCCACUCACGUGGGUUGUGAUUAUUAGAUACAAUCAGCCCCCUUGGGGUCAUGAUGAAUCAUAAUAACUGAACUAAGCGCAUGCUUUGGCGGCGCUGUUUCAUUCAAGUUUCUGCCCUAUCAGCUUUCGAUGGUAGGGUAUUGGCCUACCAUGGCGUUAACGGGUAACGGAGAAUUAGGGUUCGAUUCCGGAGAGGGAGCCUGAGAGAUGGCUACCACAUCCAAGGAAGGCAGCAGG